CAUUUAGUAAUUCAAAUUUAAUCUUUAAGGAAUCAAGGAUGAUUUAUACUUCUAAUUUUCACUAACUUUAUGUAGUGCUUGGUUACGUUAUAGUUAGUUACAUUAGAAAUAGCUAACUUAUAAGGAAAAGGCCUGUAUGCAAGUGGGUAAUCUCUGUUAUGUUAUAAUGUCUCCUGUUGUUUUGUAUGGUGAAUUUUUCACUCUUCACUAUAAAGUUUUAGAAAACCUUUUGCCAUUUGCACAUGAAUUAGGGGAAUUAGGGCCAAACUGUGGGUAUAAACUUAUGAAUGUAUGAAGCCUAUAUUAGGAAAUUCAAUCCAAAGGCAAUGGAGAACACCCGUUUUGAGUGUUAUAUGUUCUGUUACAGUGCAAGUAAAGAUUUUAUAUUUCCAAUUGCAUACAACGAUACUAAAGGCUAGAUUUUUUAAGGAUUCUUUACACCUUUCUCAAUUCACAUAUCUAUAUCUUAUCUUUUAGAGAAAGGGAUGAUCUGAUCUUCUUUCGUUCUGUUUUGUCUUCCACAUGGUUUCCCCAUCAUGUCAUUCAAAUAACACCCAUUUGAUCCUUACCAACAUGAUAGAUGAAGGAAUCAUCCUCUUUGUGCCCAUUUUGUCUUCCACAGUUUUUCUUUAACCAACAUGAGAAAUGGGGGAUCCUUUCCAUGAUUUACAUUAUCAUUAUUGAUGCAAUGUAUUUGUUAACCUGAAAAUCAUAACUUUCGAUUAUGGUUAGCAUUUUUCAAGAGUAAAAAAAAUCAAUUUUGAUUUUCAGAACGAUAUACAUAGAUUACUAAAUGGAAAGGACCUAUUGCGCUAAAAUUUGUUGUUCAAAAAGAAGGUGAUGCAAGGAGUUGGUGAACCAUUUCAGCUUGUGGACUUGGGUGACCCUAAAAUUUUUAGUCUGAUCCUUUACACAUAUAGAGGGAGAAUAGGACCAGGCCCAUCUUUGAAAAGAGGCUUAGAGCUAAUUUCAUCAGCCCAGCCAGUUUAUUGAGUGUAAGUGAGAAAAGUCUUAUUCAUAUUUGUUGCUUUCCGAAUGUUAUGUUCAUAGCUUUCUGAAGGUUGAAGCAUGCAAGAUGACUACAGUACCUCUA